GAUGAACGCUGGCGGCGUGCCUAAUACAUGCAAGUCGAGCGAACAGACGAGGAGCUUGCUCCUCUGACGUUAGCGGCGGACGGGUGAGUAACACGUGGAUAACCUACCUAUAAGACUGGGAUAACUUCGGGAAACCGGAGCUAAUACCGGAUAAUAUAUUGAACCGCAUGGUUCAAUAGUGAAAGACGGUUUUGCUGUCACUUAUAGAUGGAUCCGCGCCGCAUUAGCUAGUUGGUAAGGUAACGGCUUACCAAGGCAACGAUGCGUAGCCGACCUGAGAGGGUGAUCGGCCACCCUGGAACUGAGACACGGUCCAGACUCCUACGGGAGGCAGCAGUAGGGAAUCUUCCGCAAUGGGCGAAAGCCUGACGGAGCAACGCCGCGUGAGUGAUGAAGGUCUUCGGAUCGUAAAACUCUGUUAUUAGGGAAGAACAAAUGUGUAAGUAACUAUGCACGUCUUGACGGUACCUAAUCAGAAAGCCACGGCGAACUACGU
rnacentral:rRNA from 1 species